GCCUGGGUGGCUCAGUUGGUUAAGCAUCUGACUUCAGCUCAGGUCAUGAUCUCAGGCA
rnacentral:tRNA from 1 species